rnacentral:rRNA from 1 species
GACGAACGCUGGCGGCGCGCCUAACACAUGCAAGUCGAACGAGCGAGAGAGAGCUUGCUUUCUCGAGCGAGUGGCGAACGGGUGAGUAACGCGUGAGGAACCUGCCUCAAAGAGGGGGACAACAGUUGGAAACGACUGCUAAUACCGCAUAAGCCCACAGGUCGGCAUCGACCAGAGGGAAAAGGAGCAAUCCGCUUUGAGAUGGCCUCGCGUCCGAUUAGCUAGUUGGUGAGGUAACGGCCCACCAAGGCGACGAUCGGUAGCCGGACUGAGAGGUUGAACGGCCACAUUGGGACUGAGACACGGCCCAGACUCCUACGGGAGGCAGCAGUGGGGAAUAUUGCACAAUGGGGGAAACCCUGAUGCAGCGACGCCGCGUGGAGGAAGAAGGUCUUCGGAUUGUAAACUCCUGUUGUUGAGGAAGAUAAUGACGGUACUCA